AUUGAACGCUGGCGGCAGGCUUAACACAUGCAAGUCGAGCGGGGGAAAGUAGCUUGCUACCGGACCUAGCGGCGGACGGGUGAGUAAUGCUUAGGAAUCUGCCUAUUAGUGGGGGACAACAUCUCGAAAGGGAUGCUAAUACCGCAUACGUACUAAGGGAGAAAGCAGGGGAUCUUCGGACAUUGCGCUACUGAAUGAGCCUAAGUCGGAAUAGCUAGUGGGCGGGGGAAAGGCCUACCAAGGCGACGAUCUGUAGCGGGUCUGAGAGGAUGAUCCGCCACACUGGGACUGAGACACGGCCCAGACUCCUACGGGAGGCAGUAGUGGGGAAUAUUGGACAAUGGGGGGAACCCUGAUCCAGCCAUGCCGCGUGUGUGAAGAAGGCCUUAUGGUUGUAAAGCACUUUAAGCGAGGAGGAGGCUACUUUAGUUAAUACCUAGAGAUAGUGGACGUUACUCGCAGAAUUAGCACCGGCUAACUCUGUGCCAGCCGCCGCCGUAA
rnacentral:rRNA from 1 species